rnacentral:misc_RNA from 1 species
AAGGAGUCUAACAUCUAUGCGAGUGUUUGGGUGUCAAACCCGGAACGCGAAAUGAAAGUGAACGGAGGUAGGAAGCCUUAAGGCUGCACUAUCGACCGAUCCUGAUGUCUUCGGAUGGAUUUGAGUAAGAGCAUAGCUGUUGGGACCCGAAAGAUGGUGAACUAUGCCUGGAUAGGGUGAAGCCAGAGGAAACUCUGGUGGAGGCUCGCAGCGGUUCUGACGUGCAAAUCGAUCGUCAAAUCUGGGUAUAGGGGCGAAAGACUAAUCGAACCAUCUGGUAGCUGGUUCCUGC